rnacentral:lncRNA from 1 species
ACGCACGUUGCAACCCCGGGCUUCUCUGAAAUUUAAAGGAAGUGAAAGCCCCAUUGCACGUGCUAAAUUGAUGCCAUUCGUGUUGCAGUUCAUCUCGUUAAUUCCACGAUUGAUCUGUGUCAAAGUAAUGGCUACAUCGUUUAAUUGUCAUUUUUAUUUUUGAAUUUGUUUAUAUGAAUUAUGUUUCAUUAUUAAAUAUAUGGCUGUGAAGAUGAAUAAUCAGCUUAAUGCCAGUUCUGCUUCUGAAAAAUCGUGAUUGUUAGAGCUGUUAAAAUGUUCUGAGCCUCUUUACUAUAUUUAAUUAAAUUAUUAUUUUAGUAUAAUGUCUAAUUUCAAUUAACAUUGGUUGCCUAUGAUGAUAUAAUCCAACUUGUUUGAGGUGUUGUGGAGCCAAGCCCCUGUUUUCAGGGAGAACCUACUUGGUGAAGCUUCAUUCAUAUGACUUCAAUGGAUUUCACUGAGGC